UGGGUUCAAUCCCCAGUACCAAAAGAAAGAAAGAAAAGGACAUAAGCUCUACAAAAGCAAGGCCCGUGCCCCAGGAUGACUGAGAGCACGACAGACCUUUCCAGGCCUCUGAGUGGACACUCAGCCUUCACACAGAGGCGCCGGCCCUUAAGCCAUUCAGAAUCCCCAGCAGCUGCACCAGGAAACAGCUGGAGAAGACUCUGCCCAGCAUCAACUAGGCGGCCUCGUGGGAGAGGAGAAGCUGCCUCGAUAGGCUUUGGUUGCACACCCAGGAGUCACGACUGCGGGGACAGAUCUAGCAAUGCCACAGAGUUAAAUUUUCCUUUGGUUGGAUCUGGUAGGUUUUCCUGGGAUGAUUCUUUAUGGCGCCCUGUUCUUGACCUUGGUGUCCGUCACCUGGGCUCCCAGAACCUGCUCCUGCUUCAGCCUACAGCAGGACCUCGAUCUGCAUUUACACCCCUGAUUCAGGCCUCUUUAUUCUGCUUUGAGUGAGCACCGAUUCCGUCUCCUCCUGGCCACUGGGGUCCCUCACCUGUUUCUCCUGGUCACUUGUUGUGUCCCUGUAACCCCAAGGAGACCUGCACCCCCUAAGCCAUUCUUUCUACCAUUUAGUAGACAGAACAAGCACUUGGUUACUCUUCCAUUCUCUCCCAUUCAAGACCAGUGUGUUAAAACAGUGAAGCUACACAUCGAGCCAGCCCACCAUGUAGGCCCAAAUCGCCUCCAUGUCUCCGUGACCUCUCCUCCCGCCCACCUCCAGACUCUCCGGCCAUUGCCCUCAUUGCUGGUCCACCAUGGCGUGCAUAUUGCUGUGCUGCUGAGAAAUGCUCCGUGCCAUCCGGCCACUGCGGGACAGGCUGGGAGGUCGAGGGAGUCCAGGCUGCCCUGUACAAAUGGCCCUUAGUCGUCCGUCUUGAUUCCAGAGUGAACACUGGGACCACCCCCCACCCCCUUUAGGGCAAGUGCAAAUGUAGUUUUAGGUUCUUACUGAAAAGGAGAAGGAUAUGAGUGCAAUUUCUACAUAAGUUGCUGAGAAACUAAAGCAAUAAAAUUCUAAGCAUUGAA